rnacentral:rRNA from 1 species
UGUAUUUAUUAGAUAAAAAACCAAUGCCAUUCGGGGCUUUUUGGUGAUUCAUGAUAACUUUACGGAUCGCAUAGCCUUGCGCUGGAGACGGUUCAUUCAAAUUUAUGCCCUAUCAACUUGUGAUGGUAAGGUAUUGGCUUACCAUGGUUUCAACGGGUAACGGGGAAUUAGGGUUCGAUUCGGGAGAGGGAGCUUGAGAAACGGCUACCACAUCCAAGGAAGGCAGCAGGCGCGCAAAUUACCCAAUCCCGACACGGGGAGGUAGUGACAAUAAAUAGUGAUACAGGGCUCCUUUGGGUCUUGUAAUUGGAAUGAGUACAAUUUAAACCUCUUAACGAGGAACAAUUGGAGGGCAAGUAUGGUGCCAGCAGCCGCGGUAAUUCCAGCUCCAAUAGCGUAUAUUAAAGUUGUUGCAGUUAAAAAGCUCGUAGUUGAAACUUGGGCCUGGCUGGCGGGUCCGCCUCACCGCGUGCACUCGUCCGGCCGGGCCUUCCUUCUGAAGAACCUCAUGCCCUUCACUGGGCGUGCUGGGGAACCAGG